CAGUGAAUCAUCGAAUCUUUGAACGCACAUUGCGCCCCUUGGUAUUCCAUGGGGCAUGCCUGUUCGAGCGUCA
rnacentral:rRNA from 1 species